rnacentral:tRNA from 1 species
UGAGGUGAGUUACCUUCUUCUUGA